CGACCACGCCCCUGUAGCAGGCCCCGCCCCUCGAGGGCAGGACUGUAGGGGCUUGUAGUCUUGGGGCCACUGCCGCCGGGGCCUUGGCUGGUUGGGCGGUAGUCGGCAGGAGGACGCAGCUUUGCACUAAAGUCGGGGAGGGCGCCGAAAGCCGGGGUAAAGGAAACAAUCUCUGAAAGGUGAUGUGGCUGGUCUAGUCACACAGUUAUCAGAGUCAGGCAGGAUUUGAAUCCACAUCUUCUUGACUCUAGAGGCCAGGCUCUGGACAACUGUGCUACAGUCGCCUGUUUGUGGGGCCUCUGCUCCCGACCCCAGCUGUCUGCCUGACUCAGCAACUGUGGGUGGCCUUACUCCCAUGCGUGGGCAGCAGAGCUGUUGGGAAGACUGACAUGAAGAGAGGGGAAGUCCAAAGGAUGCCCAGUGGAGAUGGGUGGCACUGAGACUUGAACUCUGAUCCACUGGACUCUAGAGGCAGUUCUGCCCAACUCUUAAUGGACGGACAGACUGUGGUGAAGGAACAAGAAUGGCGUGUGUGAGAGAAUCCACUAUAAAGUUAUCACCACGACCCCUACCCUUCCCAUUGAGCCGGAGGGACUGGACAAGGAGAAAGGCCACUUCUGGAUAAAAGUCCCUAGGUAUGGCAGUCACAAGAUAACUGAGGUCAAGCAGGAGAAAGCAGAGGCUGUUAUAAGGACUAGAACUCUUCCUCCCAAGUUCUCCUUUGCAAGCAUAUAGGUAAUGAGCUCUCUGUCACUGGAAAUAUGCAAGUGGAACCUGGCCAAUCAUUUGGCAGAGGCUGUAAAGGAGCUCUCAAAAUCUGAUGGGAAACUGGGCUGUAUGGCUUCUGAGCAGCAGUUUGUCUAAGGGGUUAAGAACAUGGGCUUAGCUGGCAGUGGCCUCUGGUUUAAACCCCAGCUUUGCCAUUUCCUAGCUCUCUUUCUUCCAUCUUCAGGUAACCACAAUUCUGACUCCUAUCAUCACAGAUUUAUCUUGCCCAUUCUAGAAAUUCAUACAAAUGUCAUCACACUGAACAUUCUCUUGUAUCUGGCUUAUUUCAUUCAACAUUAUGUUCAUGAA